AAUACCGCGUGAGGGAGGAAGGCUCUUGGGUCGUAAACCUCUUUUCUCAGGGAAGAACACAAUGACGGUACCUGAGGAAUAAGCAUCGGCUAACUCCGUGCCAGCAGCCGCGGUAAUACGGAGGAUGCAAGCGUUAUCCGGAAUGAUUGGGCGUAAAGCGUCCGCAGGUGGCGAUGUAAGUCUGCUGUUAAAGAGUCUAGCUCAACUAGAUAAGAGCAGUGGAAACUACAUAGCUAGAGUACGUUCGGGGCAGAGGGAAUUCCUGGUGUAGCGGUGAAAUGCGUAGAGAUCAGGAAGAACACCAGUGGCGAAGGCGCUCUGCUAGGCCGUAACUGACACUGAGGGACGAAAGCUAGGGGAGCGAAUGGGAUUAGAUACCCCAGUAGUCCUAGCCGUAAACGAUGGAUACUAGGCGUGGCUUGUAUCGACCCGAGCCGUGCCGUAGCUAACGCGUUAAGUAUCCCGCCUGGGGAGUACGCCGGCAACGGUGAAACUCAAAGGAAUUGACGGGGGCCCGCACAAGCGGUGGAGUAUGUGGUUUAAUUCGAUGCAACGCGAAGAACCUUACCAAGGCUUGACAUGUCGCGAAUCUUCUUUAAAGGGAAGAGUGCCUUCGGGAGCGMGAACRCAGGUGGUGCAUGGCYGUSGUCAKCUYGUGUYGUGAGAUGUUGGGUUAAGUCSCGCRRCGAGCGCAACCCUCGUUUUUAGUUGCCAGCAUUAAGUUGGGCACUCUAGAGAGACUGCCGGUGACAAACCGGAGGAAGGUGGGGAUGAYGUCAAGUCAGCAUGCCCCUUACGCCUUGGGCUACACACGUACUACAAUGCUCCGGACAGAGGGCAGCAAGCAUGCGAGUGCAAGCAAAUCCCGGAAACCGGAGCUCAGUUCAGAUCGCAGGCUGCAACUCGCCUGCGUGAAGGAGGAAUCGCUAGUAAUUGCAGGUCAGCAUACUGCAGUGAAUUCGUUCCCGGGCCUUGUACACACCGCCCGUCACACCAUGGAAGCUGGUAGUGCCCGAAGUCAUUACUCCAACCAUUCG
rnacentral:rRNA from 1 species